UACGUAGGGUGCGAGCGUUAAUCGGAAUUACUGGGCGUAAAGCGUGCGCAGGCGGUUUUGUAAGCCAGGUGUGAAAUCCCCGGGCUCAACCUGGGAAUGGCAUUUGGGACUGCAAGGCUGGAGUGCGGCAGAGGAGACUGGAAUUCCUGGUGUAGCAGUGAAAUGCGUAGAUAUCAGGAGGAACACCGGUGGCGAAGGCGGGUCUCUGGGCCGUAACUGACGCUGAGGAGCGAAAGCGUGGGGAGCGAACAGG
rnacentral:rRNA from 1 species